rnacentral:rRNA from 1 species
GAUGAACGCUGGCGGCGUGCCUAAUACAUGCAAGUCGAGCGAACGGACGAGAAGCUUGCUUCUCUGAUGUUAGCGGCGGACGGGUGAGUAACACGUGGAUACCCUACCUAUAAGACUGGGAUAACUUCGGGACACCGGAGCUAAUACCGGAUAAUCUUUUGAACCGCAUGGUUCAAAAGUGAAAGACGGUCUUGCUGUCACUUAUCGAUGGAUCCGCGCUGCAUUAGCUAGUUGGUAAGGUAACGGCUUACCAAGGCAACGAUGCAUAGCCGACGUGAGAGAGGGAUCGGCGACAUGGGAGGUGAGACAGGGUCCAGACUCCUACGGGAGGCAGCAGUAGGGAAUCGUCCGCAAUGGUCGGAAGCCUGACGGAGCAACGCCGCGUGAGUGAUGAAGGUCUUCGGAUCGUAAAACUCUGUUAUGAGGGAAGAACAGAUGUGUAAGUAACUGUGCACAUCGUGACGGUACCUAAUCAGAAAGCCACGGCUAACUACGUG